rnacentral:tRNA from 1 species
AGGGAUGUAGUUCAACGGUAGAAUGUUGGUCUCCAAAACCAAUGGUUGGGGGUUCAAAUCCCUCCAUCCCUG